ACAGCUUUCUACUUUAGUGACCCUGUUCCAUUGUUUCUGGACCUGGUACAGGAUCACUUCAGUUAUAAGUAACGCAUGUGCAAGUUCUGUUCAAGCUACAUUUUGCUCGCUUUUAUUAGACAAUGAAGCUUUACACCGGAAGCUGCCACUAUUAGAAGUACUGACUUGUUGUGUGGAGGCUACCGCUGUAAACGCAGUGCUAGAGCAUCCAGGUAAGCAGACCCAGUCACAAGCUUCUUAGCUUUUGCUCGUUUUUAUUUGACAACGAAGGCAGGGGCGAUCCUAGGAUUCAGUGAAUGGGGGUGCUCAUUGCGCGGCGCAAAAUUUAGACCACUCCCACUUCCGGGGUCACUCCCCUUUUGUCGGCAACGCCCACUGUUUUCUAGAUGGUGCACAGCCACAGUAUGACAGUAUUUUACAGUGCCAUCAGCAAGUCAAGAAUGUUUACGACCAGAAGCUCAAUUCGCCUGGGAUGGCAAACUCUAGCCAACUCUUCUUAAGGCCACUAAAAGAUUGAUCAGCUUACCAGGAGGUGACAGGCAGCGUACAAAGUAUGACCACCAGUACGUACCUUGAUGUUGAGGAAAAGAGACUUUGUAGUUUACAUGCAAACAUUGAUUAUUAUUAUAAUUUAUUGUACAUACAUGUAGGCUUAAUUAUAUAAUUAUACUAUACAUUCAUGUACCUCAUG